rnacentral:rRNA from 1 species
CCUACGGGUGGCAGCAGUGGGGAAUAUUGCACAAUGGGGGAAACCCUGAUGCAGCGACGCCGCGUGAGUGAAGAAGUAAUUCGUUACGUAAAGCUCUAUCAGCAGGGAAGAACUACUGACCUUACGGUCAGCAGACGGUACCUGAGUAAGAAGCCCCGGCUAACUACGUGCCAGCAGCCGCGGUAAUACGUAGGGGGCAAGCGUUAUCCGGAUUUACUUGGUGUAAAGGGAGCGUAGACGGUGCGCCAAGUCUGGAGUGAAAUGCCGCAGCUUAACUGCGGAACUGCUUUGGAAACUGGCGAACUAGAGUGCGGGAGGGGUAAGCGGAAUUCCUAGUGUAGCGGUGAAAUGCGUAGAUAUUAGGAGGAACACCGGUGGCGAAGGCGGCUUACUGGACCGUAACUGACGUUGAGGCUCGAAAGCGUGGGGAGCAAACAGGAUUAGAUACCCGAGUAGUC